rnacentral:rRNA from 1 species
GUCCACGCCGUAAACGAUGAAACUAGCUGUUGGGUGUAUUUAUACACUUAGUAGCGCAGCUAACGCGAUAAGUUUCCGCCUGGGGAGUACGGCCGCAAGGUUAAACUCAAAGGAAUUGACGGGGCCCGCACAAGCGGUGGAGCAUGUGGUUUAAUUCGAUGCAACGCGAAGAACCUUACCUACUCUUGACAUCCUUCGAAGCCUGCAGAGAUGCGGGUGUGCCGAAAGGACGGAGUGACAGGUGCUGCAUGGCUGUCGU